rnacentral:rRNA from 2 species
UUGGAUUGUAAACCCCUUUUCUCAGGGAAGAAGAAAGUGACGGUACCUGAGGAAUCAGCCUCGGCUAACUCCGUGCCAGCAGCCGCGGUAAUACGGAGGAGGCAAGCGUUAUCCGGAAUGAUUGGGCGUAAAGCGUCCGUAGGUGGCAAUUCAAGUCUGCUGUCAAAGACUGGAGCUUAACUCCGGAAAGGCAGUGGAAACUGAAUAGCUAGAGUGCGGUAGGGGCAGAGGGAAUUCCUGGUGUAGCGGUGAAAUGCGUAGAGAUCAGGAAGAACACCGGUGGCGAAAGCGCUCUGCUGGGCCGCAACUGACACUGAGGGACGAAAGCUAGGGGAGCGAAUGGGAUUAGAUACCCCAGUAGUCCUAGCUGUAAACGAUGGAGACUAGGUGUUGCCUGUAUCGACCCGGGCAGUGCCGAAGCCAACGCGUUAAGUCUCCCGCCUGGGGAGUACGCACGCAAGUGUGAAACUCAAAGGAAUUGACGGGGGCCCGCACAAGCGGUGGAGUAUGUGGUUUAAUUCGAUGCAACGCGAAGAACCUUACCAGGGCUUGACAUGUCCGGAAGCUCGGGGAAACCUGAGUGUGCCUUCGGGAACCGGAACACAGGUGGUGCAUGGCUGUCGUCAGCUCGUGUCGUGAGAUGUUGGGUUAAGUCCCGCAACGAGCGCAACCCUCGUCCUUAGUUGCCAGCAUUAAGUUGGGCACUCUAGGGAGACUGCCGGUGACAAACCGGAGGAAGGUGGGGAUGACGUCAAGUCAUCAUGCCCCUUACGCCCUGGGCUACACACGUACUACAAUGGGGAGGACAAAGGGUAGCGACUCUGCGAAAAGAAGCCAAUCUCAGAAACCUCUCCUCAGUUCAGAUUGCAGGCUGCAACUCGCCUGCAUGAAGGAGGAAUCGCUAGUAAUCGCAGGUCAGCAUACUGCGGUGAAUCCGUUCCCGGGCCUUGUACACACCGCCCGUCACACCAUGGAAGUUAACCAUGCCCGAAGUCAUUACUCUAACCCAAAUGGGAGGGGGAUGCCGAAGGCAGGG